GACGAACGCUGGCGGCGUGCUUAACACAUGCAAGUCGAACGGAAAGGCCCUGCUUUUGUGGGGUGCUCGAGUGGCGAACGGGUGAGUAACACGUGAGUAACCUGCCCUUGACUUUGGGAUAACUUCAGGAAGCUGGGGCUAAUACCGGAUAGGAGCUCCUGCUGCAUGGUGGGGGUUGGAAAGUUUCGGCGGUUGGGGAUGGACUCGCGGCUUAUCAGCUUGUUGGUGGGGUAGUGGCUUACCAAGGCUUUGACGGGUAGCCGGCCUGAGAGGGUGACCGGCCACAUUGGGACUGAGAUACGGCCCAGACUCCUACGAGAGGCAGCAGUGGGGAAUAUUGCACAAUGGGCGGAAGCCUGAUGCAGCAACGCCGCGUGCGGGAUGACGGCCUUCGGGUUGUAAACCGCUUUCGCCUGUGACGAAGCGUGAGUGACGGUAAUGGGUAAAGAAGCACCGGCUAACUACGUG
rnacentral:rRNA from 1 species